rnacentral:rRNA from 1 species
ACCAUGCAGUCGAGCGGGGAAGAGUAGCUUGCUACUUAACCUACUCGGCGGACGGGUGAGUAAUGCUUAGGAAUCUGCCUAUUAGUGGGGGACAACAUCUCGAAAGGGAUGCUAAUACCGCAUACGUCCUACGGGAGAAAGCAGGGGACCUUCGGGCCUUGCGCUAAUAGAUGAGCCUAAGUCGGAUUAGCUAGUUGGUGGGGUAAAGGCCUACCAAGGCGACGAUCUGUAGCGGGUCUGAGAGGAUGAUCCGCCACACUGGGACUGAGACACGGCCCAGACUCCUACGGGAGGCAGCAGUGGGGAAUAUUGGACAAUGGGGGGAACCCUGAUCCAGCCAUGCCGCGUGUGUGAAGAAGGCCUUUUGGUUGUAAAGCACUUUAAGCGAGGAGGAGGCUACCGAGAUUAAUACUCUUGGAUAGUGGACGUUACUCGCAGAAUAAGCACCGGCUAACUCUGUGCCAGCAGCCGCGGUAAUACAGAGGGUGCAAGCGUUAAUCGGAUUUACUGGGCGUAAAGCGCGCGUAGGUGGCCCAUUAAGUCAAUGUGAAAUCCCCGAGCUUAACUUGGGAUUGCAUUCGAUACUGGUUGGCUAGAGUAUGGGAGAGGAUGGUAGANUNCNGGUGUANCGGUGAA